ACAACUUCACAAACAGACGGAGGAUUACGCUUGUGAUAACCAGAAGAGGUGAAAAACAGUCUCACCCCUCCCGUCUGUCGGCUGGAUUAGGUUAUUUUACUGGGCUCCUUGGCCAUCCUUUUGUGGUUUCGUCGCAUCUCCAUUUAAAAGCCUGCACACCCCCUAUUAGUUACCGUGGAUGUCAUCUUAAUCUACACCGCCUCACAAACUGGAAGCCUGUGGUCUCUGCCACCUCCCCUCCCUUCAGCUGUUGUCCUGUGGAUCCUGAAGGCUGUCUGUCUCUCAGAUUCCUCCCUGGCCCUCUGUCCCCACUGGUUCAGACUGAGCGGCGCGAACCUGGGUUUGUGCGUUGUCUCCAGCCUUCCGUUUCCUGCUGUCUCUGCGCUGGUCCUCGCGGGAGUUGUGUCUCAGCCCUGGUGGAAGGCUUCCAGGACUGCCCUCCUCAGCCUCUUGUCCUGCGGGCCAGCUCUUCUCCUGGCACUCCCGUUUUCCUGUCUGUGCAGGCCUCAAAGCAUGGGGCACUUUGGAAGGAAUAAUGCAGAUAUGAUAGCUGGAGUUCCAGCAGCUACCUUGAGCAAUGAGGCAGCUUUGAGGAUGGAAGCCUUUAGCUGAGGAAGGUUGAGCCCAAAGAUAGAAGACAACCAGCUUACUGAUGACUAUGGAGCCUCCACACCAGCCAGGGGUUGCCUGUCUUGGGACUUCUAUGGGAAAGAAAAAUACAAAUAUGGUCCAGGAAUGCCAAAUACUUGACAUACAUGCCUCCACUUUCCGAUCCUGUGUCCAUGCCAGACGUUAAUCACUGAUGAUGGUGUGUUCUCUGUCUCAGCCUCUUUUCAAUAACCUUUGCAACAUGAUGCUAGGCAGCUUCUCCAUUGGAUCAGGAUGGGCAGCAGACAUGCAUUUAUU
rnacentral:lncRNA from 1 species